rnacentral:tRNA from 1 species
ACCGGCCUGUCACGCCGGGGGUCGCGGGUUCGAGUCCCGUCCGCUGCGCCA